rnacentral:lncRNA from 1 species
GGUUUUCAUAGCAGCACCUGUGUGCUGUGAGCUGUAGUCUAAUGGCAAGGGUUUCUAACUUUAGAAGUUUUAUGUAUAAAGUGUAUUUUCAUAUUGCAGAAUUAAGUUACCUUUGUCUAAUGUUGCAAACACUGUUCCUAAUUACAUGGAGUUUGGUCUGUUGUAGAGAGAGAGCUGUGUAAAAUAGUGUGUUACAUGGUACUAGUAUAAGAAAGGAGCACAGGUGGUACGAGGGACUGUUUUGUCACUUGAGCUGGGGGCAGGGGUUAAAGUAGGCCUGAGAGGAUGUCAUUUGGGCAAGAGUCUGAAGGAGGGAGUGAGACUGUUGAUUCUUGGAGAUUAUCUCAGGUAAGCAAGCAGACAUGGAUGGAUGGCCUGGAUGGUUAUGUAUUUGGAUAUCACCUUAGUGUCUAGAGCAAGGAAAAAGAGAGAAGGUCUAAUGGGUAAGUGAAAGCUGCAUGGGAAGGACUGUAGGACUUUGUGGGUAGAAAAUGACACAAUUCAUUGAAAAUGCCCUAUGGCACUAAGGAAGAAGCAGAUUUAGGAGAUGCUGUUGUGGUCAGGGGUGAGUCUGAUGAAUCAGAGUAGUAGUGGGGAGUUCGGAAAGUGAUUGGAUACUUGGGUGUGUCAUAAGGAGUGAUCAGGAUUUGACAAUAUACUGAAUGUGUUGUAGAGGGGAAAACACAAAUGGCUCUUCAGACCAUGGGUGUGGCAAACAGCUGAAAGGGUAUACUUGCAAUUAAUUAACUAGAAUAGGUUUGAGGUAUCCAUAAGAAGCAGAGAAAGAAUUUUAAAUAACAGGAAAAUCCCUCGCUGAAGAUGAUGAGCUGGAAGUUGUGUAUAAAUGGCAGUUCAAACUAUAAAGCUGAACAAGUAUCAGAAUGGCAAAGGACUGAAGCUCAAAGAAGGCACGUCACCAUGAGGGGCCAGGAUUGGAAGCCACAGGAUUGAACUUGUUAAUGUGACUCCAGUGCCCUAGCAAAAACACCAUACUGCCAUUUGUUUUCAAGUAACCUGUCAUGAAAAAGAGUUCAAGAUUCUGGCUAGCAAAGGCAGUUAUUGUCCUGGUAUGCCAUAGCCAUUUCAGAGCUCUUGACACCUGUCAGGAAGUGGGGCGUGUGACCCAAGGGGAGGACCGUAUAUGGAGAUCACUGAAUACCCAUUCUUACUUGGUACUCAGAUUGGGGCUUGGGAAGAAAACUCUGUUCAUGAAUAGAUUAGGUGCCACCUGCCAGGCUUCCCCACUGUGUGAUAGAUAGUCUUAGAGGAUCAUCAACCAAAGGAAGGGAUGGCAUGAUCUCAAG